GACGUAGGGCGCGAGCGUUGUCCGGAUUUAUUGGGCGUAAAGAGCUCGUAGGCGGCUCAUUGCGUCAACCGUGAAAACCAGCAGCUCAACUGUUGGCUUGCGGUUGAUACGGGUGGGCUGGAGUUCGGUAGGGGAGACUGGAAUUCCUGGUGUAGCGGUGAAAUGCGUAGAUAUCGUAAGGAAGACCAGUGGCGAAGGCGGGUCUCUGGGACGGUACUGACGCUGAGACGCGAAAGCGUGGGGAGCGAACAGG
rnacentral:rRNA from 1 species